rnacentral:rRNA from 1 species
CCUACGGGUGGCAGCAGUGGGGAAUCUUGCGCAAUGGGCGAAAGCCUGACGCAGCGACGCCGCGUGAGGGAUGAAGGUCUUCGGAUCGUAAACCUCUGUCAGCAGGGAAGAACGGUCACUGUGCUAAUCAGCAGUGAAUUGACGGUACCUGCAAAGGAAGCACCGGCUAACUCCGUGCCAGCAGCCGCGGUAAUACGGAGGGUGCGAGCGUUAAUCGGAAUUACUGGGCGUAAAGCGCUCGUAGGCGGUAUGGCAAGUCAAGGGUGAAAUCCCGGCGCUCAACGUGGGAACUGCCUUUGAAACUGGGAAACUGGAGUGUGUGAGAGGAGAGCGGAAUUCCAGGUGUAGGAGUGAAAUGCGUAGAUAUCGGGAGGAACAUCAGUGGCGAAGGCGGCUAGCUGGAACGUAACUGACGCUGAGGAGCGAAAGCGUGGGUAGCAAACAGGAUUAGAUACCCGAGUAGUC